UACGUAGGGUGCAAGCGUUGUCCGGAAUUAUUGGGCGUAAAGAGCUCGUAGGCGGUUUGUCGCGUCUGCUGUGAAAACUCGGGGCUUAACUCCGGGCCUGCAGUGGGUACGGGCAGACUAGAGUGCGGUAGGGGAGACUGGAAUUCCUGGUGUAGCGGUGAAAUGCGCAGAUAUCUGGAGGAAUACCGGUGGCGAAGGCGGCAUCCUGGACCGACAUUGACGCUGAGGAGCGAAAGCGUGGGGAGCGAACAGG
rnacentral:rRNA from 1 species